CAGUAGCCGCGGGAAUACAGAGGGUGCAAGCGUUAAUCGGAAUUACUGGGCGUAAAGCGUGCGCAGGCGGUUUGUUAAGACAGAUGUGAAAUCCCCGGGCUCAACCUGGGAACUGCAUUUGUGACUGGCAAGCUAGAGUGUGGCAGAGGGGGGUGGAAUUCCGCGUGUAGCAGUGAAAUGCGUAGAUAUGCGGAGGAACACCGAUGGCGAAGGCGACUAUCUGGGCCAACACUGACACUGAGGCACGAAAGCGUGGGGAGCAAACAGGAUUAGAGACCCCUGUAGUCCCUGUCUCUUAUAC
rnacentral:rRNA from 1 species